AUGGCGGGCGGCGCCGUCGUGAACACGUCCGGCGGCAAGGACUACCCUGGCAGGCUCACCCUCUUCGUCUUCUUCACCUGCGUCGUCGCCGCCACCGGCGGCCUCAUCUUUGGAUAUGACAUCGGUAUCUCAGGGGGCGUUACGUCCAUGAACCCUUUCCUGAAAAAGUUCUUCCCGGAGGUGUAUGACAAGAAGCAGAUGAAGGGCUCCGCCAGCCAGUACUGCAAGUACGACAACCAGCUGCUCCAGACCUUCACCUCCUCCCUCUACCUCGCGGCGCUCGUCUCCUCCUUCUUCGCCGCCACCGUCACACGUGUCGUGGGCCGUAAGUGGUCCAUGUUCACCGGAGGGCUCACCUUCCUCAUCGGCGCUGCGCUUAACGGGGCGGCGGAGAACAUCGCCAUGCUCAUCGUCGGACGCAUCCUCCUCGGUGUCGGCGUUGGCUUCGCCAAUCAGUCUGUGCCGGUGUACCUGUCGGAGAUGGCGCCUGCGCGUCUCCGGGGCAUGCUCAACAUCGGGUUCCAGCUCAUGAUCACCAUCGGCAUCCUGGCGGCGGCGCUCAUCAACUACGGCACCAACAAGAUCAAGGCCGGGUACGGGUGGCGCAUCAGCCUGGCCCUCGCGGCCGUCCCCGCGGGCAUCAUCACCCUCGGCUCCCUCUUCCUCCCCGACACCCCCAACUCCCUCAUCGAGCGUGGCCACCCGGAGGCGGCGCGCCGCAUGCUCAACCGCAUCCGCGGCAGCGACGUGGACAUCAGCGAGGAGUACGCGGACCUGGUGGUGGCGAGCGAGGAGUCCAAGCUGGUGCAGCACCCGUGGCGCAACAUCCUGCAGCGCAAGUACCGGCCCCAGCUGACCAUGGCGAUCAUGAUCCCCUUCUUCCAGCAGCUGACGGGCAUCAACGUCAUCAUGUUCUACGCGCCGGUGCUGUUCGAGACGCUGGGGUUCAAGGGCGACGCGUCGCUCAUGUCGGCCGUCAUCACGGGCCUGGUCAACGUGUUCGCGACGCUCGUGUCCGUGUUCACCGUCGACCGGCUGGGUCGCCGGAAGCUGUUCCUGCAGGGCGGCACGCAGAUGCUGCUGAGCCAGCUGGUGGUGGGCACCCUGAUCGCGGUCAAGUUCGGGACGAGCGGCGUGGGGGAGAUGCCCAAGGGGUACGCGGCGGCGGUGGUGCUCUUCAUCUGCCUCUAUGUGGCCGGGUUCGCGUGGUCGUGGGGGCCCCUGGGGUGGCUGGUGCCCAGCGAGAUCUUCCCGCUGGAGAUCAGGCCGGCGGGGCAGAGCAUCAACGUGUCGGUGAACAUGCUCUUCACCUUCGUCAUCGCGCAGGCGUUCCUCACCAUGCUCUGCCACAUGAAGUUCGGCCUCUUCUACUUCUUCGCCGGCUGGGUGGUGAUCAUGACCGUCUUCAUCGCGCUCUUCCUGCCGGAGACCAAGAACGUGCCCAUCGAGGAGAUGGUGCUCGUCUGGAAGGGACACUGGUUCUGGCGCAGGUACAUCGGAGACGCUGACGUCCACGUCGGCGCCAACAACGGCAAGGGCGCCGCCAUCGCAUAG
rnacentral:rRNA from 1 species